ACUAGUACCUCAAAUAUCAAUAAUAAUAAUAAUAACAACAAUAAUAAUAAUAAUAAUAAUAAUAAUAAUAGUAGUAAUCAUAAUAUUGAUAAUAAUAGCAAUAAAAAUAUUAGUACAAAUAAACUACUACUAAUAAGAAUGAGUAAUAAUGCAUAUCUUGUUGAUAACACUUACAAUGAAAAUACUUGCAAUAAUGUUAAUAAUAGUUUUAAUAAUCAUAUUAGUGAAGAUGAUAAUAUUAAUAAUAAUAAUAAUAUUAAUAAUAAUAAUAAUAAUGAUAAUAAUAAUAACAAUGAUACUAAAUAAUUUAGGAUGACUGUUUGGUAGUUCUUAGUUGCACUACUAUUAGUUAUUACUGCUUUAAUAUUAAUGGCCUGUAGCUGUGUAGCGGUCGUGGAUGUUUUAACAAUGGUUAUUGUUUUAAGUUGUACUAGCAGUUAUAGUUUUUAAUUAUAAAUGUAGAAAGAAGUAGUAGUAGUAGUAGUAGUAGUGGGAGUGGAGGUUAUAGUAGACAUAGUAAUAGUAGUAGUGGUAGUAGUAGUAGUAGUAGGAGUAGGAGUGGAGGUUAUAGUAGACAUAGUAAUAGUAGUAGUGGUAGUGGAACAAGGUUUUUUUUGUUGCUACUGGCAGUGUUGGUGUAAGUGGUGGUCAGAGAGUACUUAUUGAUAUUGUAGUUGUUGUGGUAGUUGUGGCUGAAGUAGUAGCAGCAGUCGAAGUGGUAGCAGCCGUAGGUUGAUUGUAGUCUAGUCGGAGGAGGCGAUUUCCAGGUACGUGUCCAGCAUCACGGGGUACUUCUCCAGGAAAGCCACCAAGGUUUGUUCGUCGACAAUUGUGUGCCGUACUGUGGAAUUUUUGAGUUUUAUGGUGAUCUUUCCAUCCUUUGUAUGGCACUGUUGGAAUUUUUGUCUGUGGACUUUCCUCACUGCUAGCACCUUUUUCAGGAUGUUGUAUCUUUUUGGGGUCAAGCUCUCGUUGAUGUAGAGAUUCGGUUUUAGGUUUAUGCAGGCCCCCACAAGGUCAUAUUUCAGGGACCUGUUCACCAAUUUGACGAUGAUGGGCCUGUUUCUGUUUUGUUGAACGGGCCCGAGCCUGUGUGCCACACUUAUGUCUUCUUCUUUGACAUUUAUUUUCAGCUGGUCUUUGAAGGUGGACACCACGAAACUUUUGGCGUUUUCAGGUGCCGUUUCUGGGGGAAGUGCGGGACCACUAACAACCACUGUGUCGUUUCGCUCAAAUUGUUCGAUGCUGUCAAUAUGUGUUUCAAAGCUGUGUAGUUUGUGUUUCAGGUCAUUCACUUCAGUUUCCAGGUUGGAGAUUACUGUGUCUUUCUUUAUCAUUUCUUCUUUUAUUAUUUCUAAUUCUGUUUUGAAUUGCUUGAGGAAGGUGAUAGCUGAGUGUUGUCAAAGAAUAGUGGAUAGUUGUUUGGAAAAUUGUGUCGAGUAGAUAGGUGGAAAAACUGUGUUUUUGAGGCGUUGAAGGACACCAGGUUCCUCUUGCCCCAAUCGGAAAUAAUAGUAAGGUCUGAGGCUAAGCGUUCUGUUGCCUCCAGCCUUGAAUCGUUAAGUUCCUGUAUGGUGGGUCUUCUAUUAAAAGAAGUUGAGUAAUGCAGAGUGGAGUCAUCGGCGUAAGAAUGGAUAGGACAGUUCGUUAUGGAAAGAGGAUCAUCAAUGAACAACAUAAAGAGAGUGGGAGAUAGGACAGAACCCUGUGGGACACCACUGUUAAUAGGAUUAGGGGAAGAACAGUGACCGUCUACCACAGCAGAAAUAGAACGGUCAGAAAGGAAACUGGAGAUAAAGGUACAGAGAGAAGGAUAAAAACCGUAGGAGGGUAGUUUGGAAAGCAAAUAUUUUUGCCAGACCCUAUCAAAGCUUUUGAUAUGUCCAGCGCAAUAGCAAAGGUUUCACCGAAACGGCUAAGAGAGGAUGACCACGAGUCAGUUAGGAAGGCAAGGAGAUCACCAGUAGAACGCCCCUUGCGGAACCCAUACUGGCGAUCAGAUAGAAGGUCAGAAGUGGAAAGGUGCUUUUGAAUCUUCCGGUUAAGGAUUGAUUCAAAAGCUUUAGAUAGACAAGAAAGUAAAGCUAUAGGACGGUAGUUUGAGGGAUUGGAACGGUCACCCUUCUUAGGCACAGGCUGUAUGAAGGCAUACUUCCAGCAGGAAGGAAAGAUAGAUGUUGACAGGCAGAGGCGAAAGAGUUUGACCAGGUAUAUAUAUAUAUAUAUAUAUAUAUAUAUAUAUAUAUAUAUAUAUAUAUAUAUAUAUAUAUAUAUAUAUAUAUAUAUAUAUAUAUAUAUAUAUAUAUAUAUAUAUAUAUAUAUAUAUAUAUAUAUAUUAUUGUUGGGAGUCCAAAAUACGCGAGUAGGGGAAGAUGUAUUUGGUGUCGUGGAUAAAUGCGGUGUGCCAGCUCACGUCACUCAGAUAAGCGAGGAUUAACACGUCAAGGGAACUGAUAUGUCUAUGGGACCACUGACACUACGUAGUUCGGAUCAUACGGUGUGUGGGUUCCGAAAAUCUCUCUCUCUCUCUCUCUCUCUCUCUCUCUCUCUCUCUCUGUAUAUAUCUAUAUAUAUAUAUAUAUAUAUAUAUAUAUAUAUAUAUAUAUAUAUAUAUAUAUAUAUAUAUAUAUAUAUAUAUAUAUAUAUUUUAUGUAUCGUAAUCAAUCAAUCAAUCAAUCAAUGAGUAGGGAUAUACGCCGGUGGAAGCGUCACCUCGCCCAACCUACAUUGCCAAGUCAGGGGGUCCCUCUGGACAAGUCCCCAUACAGGACCCUUUCUCAUCCAGCGUACUUCCUGGCAGGAUCCAUCAACUUGCUCAAGUCACGAACUGUGUGAGCGUUCCCUUGGCCUCCACUCAGGAUCGUUCUACAUAGAACCGAUGAGCAGGGUCAGCUUCUGGAUAGCGUGCCACAUCCCCGAACAGCCUGAGUUUGCAUUGACGGCUUAUGCGGCUAUUAUAUGUCGAAUCAGUCCCACGUAGUAGUCGCUGGUUUGUCAUAGUCACUCCAGAAGAUAUCACAGAUUCUGCGUAGACUAAACUUGAUACACUUAUUACCAAAGGCAUCAAUUCGCCUCUCUUAGUCCCAAUUUAGUGACCAUGUCUCACAGCCAUAGAGUACGACAAAGAGCACAAGAGACUUGUAGUUCGGGAUCUUAGUCUUUCUACACAGUUAUAGGCAAUACCAUAUACUCAAGCUGAGAGAGUACAUAACACCAUGUGCUAAGGCUUAGCUAACUAAGGUUUAGUGGUUCUUUGCCUUUUCAGAGGCGCCGAACCCUUACGAAAACCUCCGCACACUCAAAUAUUAAAAUAAUAAUAAUAAUAAUAAUAAUAAUAAUAAUAAUAAUAAUAAUAAUAAUAAUAAUAAUAAUAAUAACAAUAAUAAUAAUAACAAUAAUAAUAAUGCUGAAAAUGAUAAUAAUAAUAAUAAUAAUAAUAAUAAUAAUAAUAAUAAUAAUAAUAAUAAUAAUAAUAAUAAUUAUACAAAAAUGUAAGUAAAACUUUAAAAUUCUGGAGUAAAUUUGGAUAAUAAGAAUAAAUUCCAUUUUAUUGAACACAAAAAAUGAAAAAAAAAAUCUUCAAAUUUCAAGAGUGUAUUUGGAUAAAAAUCUGAAUGAAUAACAUUAUAGUUAAUAAAAAUGAAAGAAAGAUUGCUUAUAAAAUUAAAAAAAUAUUUGGAUAAUAAAAUCUGGAUCUUAAUGCGGUUUUUGUUCUUGUUUUUGGAAGACGAUCUGGGAAAUGCGUGCCUUUGUUUUGGCAAGGGCCACCCUCAUAUCACUUUUGCAUGCAAGUCUGCUCCUUUUCUUUGUUUUGAAGUCCAACAGUUUCGAAAAUGCAUGCUCACAGAGAUACAUUGUAGCGAACGGCGUGAGGAUCGCAAGGACACUAGCGAUGACAGGAUACUCUUCCAUUUGGCAGCACCAAAAUGUCGAGUGUUGUCGUGCCGAAAAGCAGUUGCUGAGUGUGGCUCUGCUGAAGUUCGAUGAGAUCGUUGACAUCUGCCUUUGCAACAUCAAAAGUAAAUGGCUGGCUCACCCAUGCUGGAUAGUGAGCUUUUUCAGGGAAAUAUCCAUCGAAUUAUUUUCCCAGCUCAUCUAAGUGCGUGGUAAUCGUUUGCUUCAGUUCCCAAAGUCAGAAUAAUCUUCAUUUCCGCUCACGCACUCGUCCAGUAUCAGAAAGUUUCCUAAGUUGUCCUUCCUUGUUCGCCGCCUCCACAACAGUAAAAAUGUUCAGCUCUACUUCAGCUACGAUGAUAUUCACUCACCCGCACUGCAUCUGGCAAUUGAGAUGAUAGUGUGCGUCGAAGACGUUAGCCAUAUACGCCAAAGCUAGGAUGAACUUUGAUUCUUCGAAAUGAGUUGCAUAGCGAUGCUGGUGCUCUCGCAGAAACAGGGCUAAUUCUACACGCAAGGCAAAAACAAACCUCUAUACCUUCCUUCGUGAUAACCACCAAAUGUUAGAGUGGUAGAGAAGGACUUCGAAUUCAGAGGCAAUUUCGUUGCACAGCUCUUUGAUGAUGCGAUGAUUCAGAACACUGCUUCGCAUGUAAUUCACAGUAUCAAUGACAGUCCUGGAGGCAAAGUUUUUGAUGCCAACGCUUGUUAGUGCAGGACACAGUGGGUGACGACGAUGUGUGGUGCAUCGGCCUUCACCAGCACUCCGAAACCGAAUUUGCGCCCCAGCAUGGCUGAAGCCCCGUCCGAGCAAACUGCAGACACCACGUUCCAUGAAAGACUAUUUCUUUUGAAGAAGUCGUCCACAAGUUUAUUCACGUCAGCUGCCUUCGUCGUUGUUGUGUGAGGCCUGCAGAAUAGAAACUCUUCCUUGAUAUCAUCUAUCUUGAUAUAACACACAAAUACAAUGAGUUGGCUCGAAUUAGAAACGUCGGUGGUCUCAUCGAGUUGAAGGCUGAAUUUUGUCUGACUCGUGACUAAAUCUUCGACUACCUGGGCGAGCAUGUUAUCGCUCAUGUCGAUUCUGCUGCUGAUGACGUCAUUUUAGAGUGGAACGAGAGACAACGUGUUUUCACCAGCUUUUCCAAGCAUGAUGUUGGCCAUUUUCAAUACAGCCGGUUUGAUGAAUGUUUCGCCAACGGUGUGUGGUUUUCCCUGCUUUGCUAUUAAAUACACAACUUCAUAAAAGGCACUGAGGAUCGGUUUGUCAACUGGAAUGAAGUUGCAAGUGGGCAAAAAAGCGGUUAUAUUCAAUUUGAUUUCAUCCAGCGUUGCGUCCUUGUACUGUCCCUUGCCGUGCAGUUUUAUCAAGUGUUCCCGCAGUUUCGCUGGAACAAAGCUGGAAUGGGACAACUUCACAUUGCAUAGCAUGCAUUAAUGAUGCUGAAUUAUAUCAUUCUCCGUGGAACAUGUGAAGUCGUACCACACGUAAUCCUCCGAACAUUUCUUUUUACUUGACAUGCUGAUCCUGGGUAAUGCGGAGACACUGCUGCAUGCGAUUCACCCAGCCUGUCAAAGAUGGAGUGAAUGAGAGAGUGGUCCUGGCCUCCCUCCCUCAUAAUCAAAGCAAACUGUGUUUUGUGUUUCGGAGGGCUUCCGCCGAACCCCUGAGACUGGCUCACUGAACCACUGGGUCCGUCGAACCCAGGUUAAGAACCACAUUGGCUCAGCAGCUAAGCCAAUCCGCCGUAAGACUUCGUGGCGGGACCCGCCGUUGUAAUGAACUACGCUACGAAGGUAUCGGAUUGUUAAUUCUAGGUGUUUUGUGUUAUGAUUAUUUGUGUUAAUUUUUUUUCUCUCUCUCUCUCUCUCUCUCUCUCUCUCUCUCUCUCUCUCUCUCUCUCUCUCUCUCUCUCUCUCUCUCUCUCUCU